GAAUUAUUGACCUGUACAAAAUUGAGAAUUUCAAAACUUACCAGGGGCAUCUAUGAGCACGCUGUUAUAUGGAGCUUAAAAACUGAGGAUCAAGAUGCUUCUGAGAGAUUUCUUCCUUUUGAUAUUGGCAAAAGUGUAUCUUCGAUCGUAUUUGACUCUGUUAUCCUCUCUAUGUACAAAUUAUCAGGUACAUCUGCAAUAUUUUAAAUAAGAACUCUGAUGUCUACGGAGGAUGUGGCGUGUUUCGUCAUGUAAAAAAGAGAGAUGGCCAAUACCGGAAUCAUUCUGAGGCCACACCAACAAUGUUGAGAUGCCUUACGUACAAUCUAUUCUACCACAAAUACUAAGCUUUUCUGUAAGUGUAAAAUUUGAACUCAGUUUCCAUGUUCAAAAUUAGCUAAAAAUAAUUCAUGGAUCUACAAAUCCUAGAACUUUGAAGGUUGGAUAGUAGGUUCUUUGUUAACUCUUUUUAUCUCUGAUAAAGUUGUCGCAGACGCCGCCAAACAUUUGGUGUCCGUCAGUGAUAAUGUUGUUAUAGUUGUUUUUUGAACUCAUGUCUAAUGAGUUUUACAGUUCAACUAUACGGUGCUCUUUUCUUAUAUGAGUUUCAGAGAAAAUGAGAACGUCAACUUAAUGUGGAUAUGUGAGUGUGUUUCACAUAUCCAGAAGCCAAGGAUUCACAACAGCGUUGUCUAUAUAUUCUGAGCCUGAAGAACAUUGAAAAACAUAAAAGAAGGGUGCAAUGUCUGAAAAAUCUAGAUGGAUUAAGAACUCAUUUAGUUACUGUUGGUCUUCUUCGCUGUCCUUUCUAACCAGGGAAAUUUGUUGUAUAAUUUGCGGUUUCACAUUCGUUGUUAAGAUAAGUGAGUGCGUGUAUGAAGAAUUUCCAAUAAGAAUAUCUCCCAUUUGUUAAUCCAUGGUUCUCGGCGUGUAAACUCUAGCAGCACUCUUAUUAUAAUUUGAGAAGCAUUUGACUUA